CAAUUGCUUAUAACCUUUUGGUUAUAAAUAAUUGUUAGUGGCAGACGGGUGAGUAAUGCGUAGGAAUCUACCUAGUAGUAUGGAAUAGCCAUUAGAAAUGAUGGGUAAUACUGUAUAAUCCCUGCGGGGGAAAGAUUUAUCGCUAUUAGAUGAGCCUACGUUAGAUUAGCUAGUUGGUAAGGUAAUGGCUUACCAAGGCUAUGAUCUAUAGCUGGUCUGAGAGGACGAUCAGCCACACUGGAACUGAGAUACGGUCCAGACUCCUACGGGAGGCAGCAGUGGGGAAUAUUGGACAAUGGGCGAAAGCCUGAUCCAGCUAUGCCGCGUGAGUGAAGAAGGCCUUCGGGUUGUAAAGCUCUUUCAAUAGGGAAGAUAAUGACGGUACCUAUA
rnacentral:rRNA from 1 species